ACCGGUUCACUCCCACACGGUUC
rnacentral:siRNA from 1 species